rnacentral:rRNA from 1 species
AACGAACGCUGGCGGCAGGCCUAACACAUGCAAGUCGAGCGCGCCCUUCGGGGUGAGCGGCGGACGGGUGAGUAACGCGUGGGAACGUGCCCUUCUCUGCGGAAUAGCCCCGGGAAACUGAGAGUAAUACCGCAUACGCCCUUUGGGGGAAAGAUUUAUCGGAGAAGGAUCGGCCCGCGUUGGUUUAGGUAGUUGGUGGGGUAAUGGCCCACCAAGCCGACGCUCCAUAGCUGGUUUGAGAGGAUGAUCAGCCACACUGGGACUGAGACACGGUCCAGACUCCUACGGGAGGCAGCAGUGGGGAAUCUUAGACAAUGGGGGCAACCCUGAUCUAGCCAUGCCGCGUGAGUGAUGAAGGCCUGAGGGUUGUAAAGCUCUUUCAGCUGGGAAGAUAAUGACGGUACCAGCAGAAGAAGCCCCGGCUAACUCCGUG